rnacentral:lncRNA from 1 species
AUUCUCUUCCUUACCUGAUUGCUCUGGCUAGAACUUCCAGUAUUAUAUUAAGUAGAAGUGGUGAGAGUGGCUAUCCUUAGCUUCUUUCAGUUCUCAAGGGAAUGCUACCAACUUCAGUAUGAUGUUGGCUGUGGAUUUGUCACACAUGAAUACAUGGCUUUUAUUACUUUUGAAGCAUGUUCCUUCAAUGCCUAGUGUUUUGUGAGUUUCUAUCAUGAAGGUAUCUUAGACUUUAUCAGAGAUUUUUCUGCAUAUAUUGAGAUGAUCAUAUGUUUUUUGUUUUUAUUCUGUUUAUGCGUGAAUUGCUUUUGCUGAUUUACUAUGUUGAACUAAUCUUCCAUUAUAGCAAUAAAAUAUACUUUUUGAUUUGUUGUUGGAUAUGAUUUGCUAGUAUUUUACUGAGGAUUUUUGUAUCUAUGUUCAUCAGCAAUAUUGUCCUGUAGUUUUCAUUGUUGGUCCUGUCUGUGCUAGAAUUUGUUAAUAGGAUGAUACUAGCUUCAUAGAAUUAUAGUUAGGGAAGAACCUCUCCUCCUCAAUUUUUUGAAGUAGUUUCAGUAGGAUUGGUAUCAGUUCUUACUUGUACAUGUGAUAUAAUCUUGCUGUGGAUCCAUCAGGUCCGGGAUGUUUUGGGGUUGGUAGAUUUUUUUUUUUUCUGUUUUUUGUUUUUAUACUGAUGCAAUUUCUGAACUUGUUAUUGGUCUGUUCAGGUUUUCAUUUUAUUUCUAGUUCAAUUUUGGGAGUUUGUGUCUUUCUAGAAAUUUACCCAUUUCCUCUAGAUUUCCUAAUUCAUGUUCAUAAUAGUCUCUGAGAAUCUUUUUUACUUCUGGGGAAUUGGUUGUAAUCUCAUCAUUCUAAAUUCUGAUUGCACUUAUUUGGAUCUUCUGUCUUUUUUUUCUUUGUUAAUCCAGCUAACAGUCUAUCAAUCUUGUUUAUUCUUUUGAAGAACUAAUAUUUGAUUUUAUUGAUCUUUUGUAUAAACAUCUGGGCCUCCAUUUUAUUCUUAUCUAAUUUCAGUUAUUUCUUUUCUUCCAUUAGAUUUGGUGUUGUAUUUUUUUUUCUUGAUUCCUAUAGGUUCAAUGUUAGAUUAUUAGUGUGAGAUUUUUCUAACCUUUUGAUGAAGGCAGUUAGCACCAUAAACUUUCCUCUUAACAUUACUUUAGCUAUAUUCCAAAAAUUUUGGUAAGAUGUGUUUCUAUUUUUAUUACUUUCAAAGAAAUUUUUGAUUUCUACCUGAAUUUUGUUGUUCACCCAAGAGGUAUUCAGAAGCAAGUUGUUUAAUUUCCACUUUUUUCUGUAUUUUUGAGAUAUCUUCUUGGUAUUAUUUCUAUUUUUAUUGUAAUUGUUAUGCAAGAGUGUGUUUGGUAUGCUUUUUUAAAAUUUAUUUAGACUUGCUUUAUUGCUGAGUAUGUGGUCAGUCUUAGAUUAUGUUCUCUCUGCAGAUAAGAAGAAUGAAUAUUCUUUGGUUUUUAGGUGGAAUAUCCUGUAAAUGUCUAUUGGGUUCAAUUGGUCAUGUGUCAAAUUUAAGCACAGAAAUCCUUUGUUAGUUUUCUGUCUUGAUGGUCUGUCUAAUGCUGUCAGCAGGUUGUUGAAGUCCCCCCACUAUUAUUGUGUGGCUGUCUAAAUCUUUUCCUAGGUCAAGUUGAAGUUGUUUUAUAAAUCUAAAUGUUCCCAUCUUGGGUGCAUAUAUAUUUAGGAUAGUUAAGUCUUGUUAAAUCCAACACUCUAUUGUUAUGUAAUGCUGCUCUUUGUACUUUUUUACUGUGGUUGGUGUACAGUCUGUUUUAUCUGAUAUAACAAUAUCAGUUCCUCCUCUUUUCCAUUUGAAUGGUAGAUCUUUCUCCAUCCCUUUACUUUGAGCUGAUAAGUGUCAUUACUUAUGAGACGUAGCUUUUAAAGACAGCAAAUGAUUCUUGUCUUUUUAUCCAGCUUGCCACUAUAUGCCUAAUUGGAGCAUUUAGGCCAUUUACAUUCAGGGUUAGCAUCAAUAUAGGAGAUUUUGAUCCUGUCAUCACGUCGUUGGCUGUUUCUUUUGUAGACUUGAUUGUGUAAUUGCUUUAUAUUGUCUGCAGGCCAUAUGCUUGACUGUUUUUGUGGUAGCAGGUUUUAAUGUUCGUUGCCAUAUUUAGUACUCCCUUAAGAAUUUCUUGUAAGGCUGGUCUGGUGGUAACAAAUGCUCUUAGUGCUUGCUUGUUUGAGGAGGAUUUUAAUUUCCCUUCUCUAAAGAAGCUUAUUUUGGCAGGAUAUAAAAUUUUUGUUGGAAUAUAUUUUUCUUUAAGAAUGCUGAAAAUAAAAAUUUUAAAAAAUGCUGAAAAUAGGACUCUAAUUUCAUGUGGUUUAUAAAGUUUCUGCUGAAAAGUCCACUGCUAGCCUGAUGACCUGGUCUUUCCCUCUAGG